CACAGCUGUCUGUGCGGGUCGCUACAAUACUAAUACUUCUGUUGUUAGAGCUACUAAUAAUGACUCACCACAAAGUUAAACUUCAGACUUCUUCAGGAUAUAGUUUUGACAGGCUACUGAGUACUUGCGAGAAAGAUAAUCGUAAAGGUAACGUUAGCUGUAUUUCAUCGCGGAUUUCGUUACACAGUUGUCUAUUUAGGUGAAUUAAGGAAGAAUGGAUAACGAUCACACCCUUGCUUUCCGCUGGGAGCCCUCUGGUGCCCAUCUGAAGAGGCUGCCAGGGUUGCCAGGACCAUCCAGGAGGAACAGUGUACAGGUGUAGUCUGGGUGCUGAAGCCACGACAAGUGAAGGAGAAGAAAAGGCUUGUGUGGUAGCCAGAGAGGGUGACCCAGAUGAUAGCUGACUUGUGGACAGUGAGAGUGCCAUCCAGUUCGGCAAAUACCYUGGUCAAACCUUCAAGUGGCUGCUAAGCCACGAUGUAGGCUAUGCCUUCAUGGUCUUGGCUUCUCACCAGCAAGAGAGGGAGAUGGGGGACACAGACAUGUCUCCUGAAAUGGUCAACAAGGACCGGUUUCACUGGUAUACCAACCUGUUUCCUGAGGUCCAGAGGGCAGUGGAGGAAUGCAGGGUACGGGAUUGGACCUUGCCCCCCCGAUCUGACCAGGAGGACUCGCGCCUUGUUGGCUUUGAGAACCACAAGUCCCUUACCUACAAAGAGCUUUAUGAGGCCAAAGACAAGGAGAG